rnacentral:rRNA from 1 species
UACGAAGGGGGCAAGCGUUGUUCGGAAUUACUGGGCUUAAAGGGCGCGUAGGCGGCUUAUCAAGUCAGGCGUGAAAUUCCCGGGCUCAACCUGGGGGCUGCGCUUGAUACUGAUUGGCUUGAAUGCGGGAGAGGAUAGUGGAAUUCCCAGUGUAGAGGUGAAAUUCGUAGAUAUUGGGAAGAACACCGGUGGCGAAGGCGGCUAUCUGGCCCGUAAUUGACGCUGAGGCGCGAAAGCGUGGGGAGCAAACAGG